rnacentral:tRNA from 2 species
CAGAUAGCUCAGUCGGUAGAGCAGGGGACUGAAAAUCCCCGUGUCGGUGGUUCGAUUCCGCCUCUGG